AAAAAAAAUAUUACCUGGGUAGUAUAUAGUUAUUUUCUUGAAACCCAAAGAGUUUGGCGGUAUCUCAGCCUAGUUAGAGGAGCUUGUUCCGUAAUCGAUAAUCCGCGAAAAAUCUUACAUACUCUCGUAGGCAGUUUAUAUACCGUCGUUGUCAGAUAAUGUUAAAAGAUAUAUAAUUAUCUAAAUAUAAUAAAAUAUAAUAUAUCAGAUCAAGGUGUAAUUUAUGGGUAUGAGGUGAAUGAGCUACAAUUUAUACUGUAUAAAUACGAAAAUUAAUUUUAAAUUAGUUAGUGGAAGGUGGAUUUAAUAGUAAUUGUGCUUUUAGUAAGUUGUAAUGAUAAAAGCUCUGAGAUAUGU
rnacentral:rRNA from 1 species